ensembl:lncRNA
GGCAGAAAUAGAACUUUCUGACCAAUGGAAUGCUUUAUAAAGGGAAAACUCCCCCAACAUGGCAUGCUGGGUGAGCUGAAUUGACACACAAAAAGUAUUGCUAACACAGAUAGAUGAUUCUGACACAGACAGCACUAAGUGAUAAUCAGUGUGUUUCAGAUGUGUGCAGCUAUGCGGGGGAUUGUCCUUCUCUUUCUGCUUUCUCUCUGGGCUGGAGACAAGAUGGAUGAUCAGAUUAGUGAAGCAAAUUUAUCUAAACUGAUUACAGAGAUGAAAAAGUGAGUGCUUCUCUGUUUCGUUGUAAUUAUAUAGUCUCUGUUUUAAAACCGCACUUCUUAUUUCCCAAAGAAACGCUUGCAUUAAUAUACUAUACAUGAAUAUACUCAGAACAAUAAGAUGCAUUGAAAGACUGUAAGCUACAGUUGAGGCCUAUCAUCGUUGGGGACUGUGUUAUACUUUAUUGGCUGUGACAUUACAUAAAACACUUCUUCUCUGUGUCAAGUGCCGAUUCCAAAUCGACCCCAACAUCUGUGAAGUUGUAGAGCUCUGGAGGACUACUUAGUUAUAACACACAAUGUAAUACUGUAGCUCAAUGUGUGAGGAUGAGAUUCCCUUAUGUAUUGUUGGAAGGGUUGGACGGUAUCCAGAUUUUCAUAUCGUCAUACCGUCCUUCUCUCAUACUGGUAUAUUUAAGCAAUAAGGCACGGGGGGGGGUGAUAUUUGGCGAAUAUACCACGGCUAAGGGCUGUUCUUAAACUCAACGCAUUGCAGAGUGCAUGGACACAACCCUUAGCCAUAUAUCACAAACCCCCAAGGAGCCUUAUUGCUAUUAUAAACUGGUUACCAAUGUAAUUAGAACAGUACAAAUACAUGUUUUGUCAUACCCAUGGUAUACGGUUUGAUAUACCACAGCAAAAAAGCACCAUUGGGCAUCUAUACCAGAAUGCUAACAACAUUUGCACAAGUAAUAGUGAAUUUCAAUGGAGGCUGCUCGCUGAAUAUGCUAACGAAAAUAAACAAAUUGCAAAGACAGGCAAUCCAGCUCAUAAAGUAAAAAAUACACUACCAGUCAAAUGUUUGGACACACCUACUCAUUCAAGGGUUUUUAUUUAUUUUUACUAUUUUCUACACUGUAGAAUAAUAGUGAAGACAUCAAAAGUAUGAAAUAACACAUUUGGAAUCAUGUAGUAACCAAAAGAGUAUUAAACAAAUCAAUAUAUAUUUAAUAUUUUUGAUUCUUCAAAGUAGCCACUCUUUGCCUUGAUGACAGCUUUUCACACUCUUGGCAUUUUCUCAACCAGUCCCACUCAGCCCAAACCAAGUCAAACUAGUGAAAUUUGGUUUCCCGUAAUGAUAUUACAUCACAAUGACCUUGGUUUAUCUGGAAUGAACUUGCUUAUCGUGCUGGCACUUUCUGACCAAUGGAAACUCCCCCUACAUGGCAUGCUGGGUGAGCUGAAUUGAUACAUAAAAACAUUGAAGUAUUGCUCACACAGAUAGAGGAUUCAGACACGGACAGCAGCAAUGGAUCAUCAGAUGUGUGCAGCUAUGCGGGGGUUGUCCUUCUCUUUCUGCUUUCUCUCUGGACUGGAGACAAGGUGGAUGCUCAGAUUAGUGAAGCAAAUUUAGCUAAACUGAUUACAGAGAUGAAAAAGUUCGGACUGCAAAAUCGUGAGUAUGCCAUGGCUGUCAGGCUCACCAAAGAUGAGUGCAAGAAAGGAGAGUUUGAUGUCAACGUUAAACCAGAGGUGGUCAAGGCGGCACUUACCGCCGGACAAAUCUACAAAGGAGACAAGAUCAUCGCAGCCAUACCGUAUAAUGGCUACCACGCAGAGUAUCGUCUCCUGAGUAUUACUACCCAGGAUAUGGGCUACCCCAUAUUACACCUGACCAAUAACAACAAGGACUGUAUAAUCUUCUUUACCACAUUCUCUCCCUGCCUGGAGUCCUGUAUGAAGGAAAGAGGAGGCCACAGCAUUAUCAAUGACCUUGAUAGGGCCUUUUCUACUAGAGACCUAAACUCUAAGGCCUUUGUGUUCGAGAAAGUCUGGCAACCUAAGUGGGGUGGGGCAAAAACCAAUCCCCCAAGGCAAAAUGUAAUAAACUCCUUCAAUACAAUACAUAAAAAAAUCCCCCUAUAUCGCUGUACACACAGCAAGUGUUAUUCUUGCAAUGAGAUAAACACAGGUCGCUGUUUGGAGGGCUACAGUGGCUGAGUGCACUCCUUCAAGUCCAGCUGAGCCAAAGAAGCCUCCUGUAUCUGUAGAGGACUGUCAACCUCUCUCUCCCUUCAUCCCUCUCUCUGUCUCUCACUGUCCCUUUUUGCCCUUUCCUCAGUAUCUCUGUCCCUCCUUGGGAGAAUCUCAAUUGGUUUUGCUCGACUCCUCGCGUCCUCUCCUCCAUCCUCUCCUCACCUCCUUUUGAAAAAGGUCAAGGUAAUCAAAUAGAGGAGGAAAGGAAACAUGCAAACAAAUGUGCUUGUAUGAAAUGACUCUCCUUCACCAACACGUAAUCAGGCAAAUGACAUUUACAAAGGAGUAAUCCCCAAAUACAUGUGUUAAGUGGUAAAAAUAAAUGUAGCUGGUUGCACUUAACAUUUUAUAGAGAGAUAAGUAUUGUAUCGUUUUUUUAAAUGUCGGCAUGCUUUUCUCAAAGAAACAAUAGCUGAUUCAAAGGGGGUGUGGCAGAUUUUGAAACACUUUCACGUUUCCCGCUGGGAGGAUACAUUUGUGCUCAGGCUAUCGAGGAGAGGAGGACCACUUUUUGGUUUCCGGGUCCCGGUGGAGAGGAGGACAGGGCGAGGAUGGACUUUUUCCCAAUUUGAGAAUCCUCUUCCCUAUCCUUCUUUCUCUCUAUCCUUCCCUCCCUCUCCUUCUCUUUCACUUUCUCCCCCACCACAGUUCCACAGUUCAAUAAAGUACACUAUUACAGGACCAUCUCUCUCUUCAUUCCUGUGUUUUAUUGUAGGUGGGGAUGUAGUGGUAAGAAAGGUGGAUCAGAGAAUAAUAGAUAAGACACAAGCUGAUUUGUCAUGAGGAUGUUAUGUCAUACACAGGCAGUGUAACAAUGUUCUGGGAAUGAAAUACGAAUAUCACACUGUAGAACACGUUCAUGAAAAUGAUUUGCUGGCUAAACAAUGAGACAAGAAUAACACAAUCUUGUCAUAUUUUAACAAAGUUAUGACAUUCAUGACAGUAACCCAAAGAGAUGGUAACACAUGUUUGUAACUGUGUAUUUUGACAUAGUACUAGUUUAUUAUUGGAUUAACAUUAAACAGUCUGUAACUGUAUCCUAUAUGGUAUUUAUAUCAAUGCAAGGUUAUCAGAACAAUAAGAUGCAUUGAAAAACUUGAAGCUACAGUAUGACUGCAGUUGAGGCCUAUCAUCGUGGGGCACUAUGUUAUACUUUAUUGGCUGUGACAUUACAUAAAACACUUCUUCUCUGUGUCAAGUGCCCAUUCCAAAUUGACCCCAACAUCUGUGAAGUUGUAGAGCUCUGGAGGACUACUUAGUUGUAACACACAAUGUAAUACUGUAGCUCAAUGUGUGAAGAUGAGAUUCCCUUAUGUAUUGUUGGAAGGGUUGGACGGUAUCCAGAUUAUCAUAUCGUCAUACCGUCCUUCUCUCAUACUGGUAUAUUUAAGCAAUAAGGCACGAGGGGGUGUGGUAUAUGGCCAAUAUUCCACGGAUAAGGGCUGUUCUUCAGCACGACGCAUUGCGGAGAGUAUGGACACAACCCCCGAUGUGCCUUAUUGUUAUAAUAAUCUGGUUAUCAACGUAAUUAGAACAGUACAAAUAAAUGUUUUGUCAUACUCAUGGUAUGCGGUCUAAUAUACCACAAUUGUCAGCCAAUCAGCAUUCAGGGCUCGAACCAACCAAUUUAUAAAUAGUAUUACCGGCUUGGUACACAAGAUUGCGCCAAAACAAACGCAAAAAGCGCCAUUCGGCGUCUAUACCAGAAUGCUAACAACAUUUGCACAAGUAAUAGCGAAUUUUUAAUGGAGGCUGCUCGCUGAAUAUGCACACAAAAAUAAACCAAUUGAAAAGACAUAAAAAAUACAGUACCAGUCAAAUGUUUGGACACACCUACUCAUUCAAAGGUUUUUAUUUAUUUUUACUAUUUUCUACAUUGUAGAAUAAUAGUGAAGACAGCAAAACUAUGAAAUA